rnacentral:rRNA from 1 species
AAGUCGUAACAAGGUCUCCGUUGGUGAACCAGCGGAGGGAUCAUUACUGAGUGCAAACUCUCCAACCAUUGUUUAUCUACCUAUUUUUGCUUCUCCGGUAGGCGGUUCCAGGGAGGGACCGAGCCUAUGGCCUAGCCUAAGCACCUGCCGAAGGGGUACCUACUGCUCUGUAUUAUACUGUCUGAGAAAACAAAAAAAAUAUUAAAAUUUUCAAUUAUGGAUCUCUUGGUUCUGGCAUCGAUGAAGAACGCAGCGAAAUGCGAUAAGUAAUGUGAAUUGCAGAAUUCAGCGAACCAUCGAAUCUUUGAACGCACAUUGCGCCCAUUAGUAUUCUAUUGGGCAUGCCUGUUCGAGCGUCAUUUCAACCCUCAGGCUUCGGUCUGGUGCUAGAGCAUUGCAUUGCAAGCCCUGAAAAAUAGUGGCGGACUCACUGAAAUCCGAGCGUAGUAAUUUCUCUCGCUAUGGACUUUUGGUGAUGCUCCUGCCGUAAACCCCCCCCUAUAUUACAAGGUUGACCUCGGAUCAGGUAGGAAUACCCGCUGAACUUAAGCAUAUCAAUAAGCGGAGGAAAAGAAACCAACAGGGAUUGCCCUAGUAACGGCGAGUGAAGCGGCAACAGCUCAAAUUUGAAAUCUGGCCCUAGGCCCGAAUUGUAAUUUGCAGAGGAUGCUUCUGGUAACGUGCCUUCGGAGUCCCCUGGAACGGGGCGCCAGAGAGGGUGAGAGCCCCGUAUCGUUGUGCACCGCGCCUUUGUGUAGCGCCUUCGACGAGUCGAGUAGUUUGGGAAUGCUGCUCAAAAUGGGAGGUAAACUUCUUCUAAAGCUAAAUACCGGCCAGAGACCGAUAGCGCACAAGUAGAGUGAUCGAAAGAUGAAAAGCACUUUGAAAAGAGGGUUAAACAGUACGUGAAACAAUUGAAAAGGAAGCACUUGGGAUCAGACUGGGGCUCUUCCGUUCCCCUCGCGUUCUCGCGGGGGUACUCGGAAAGUUCUGGCCAGCGUCGGUUUUUCCAGAGGGACAAAAGCAUGGGGAACGUAGCUCUUUCGGGAGUGUUAUAGCCCUGUGCACAAUGCCUUUGGGGGGACCGAGGUUCGCGCUCUGCAAGGACGCGGCGUAAUGGUCCUCAGUGGCC